rnacentral:rRNA from 1 species
CAAGUCGAGCGAAUUUCAGCAGCAUAUCGCUGAAGUUAGCGGCAGACGGGUGAGUAAUACUUGGGCAAUCUGCCCUUGAGUGGGAAACAACCUGACGAAAGUCGGGCUAAUGUCCCAUAAGACCACAGGAUGGCAUCAUCCAGGGGUCAAAGCUCCGCAAGGGGCGCUUGAGGAGGAACCCGAGUCCUAUCAUGGUAGUUGGUGAGGUAACGGCUCACCAAGCCUUUGACGGGUAGCCGGCCUGAAAGGGUGAUCGGCCACACUGGCACUGAGACACGGGCCAGACUCCUACGGGAGGCAGCAGUGGGGAAUUUUGGACAAUGGGGGCAACCCUGAUCCAGCGACGCCGCGUGAAGGACGAAGGUCUUCGGAUUGUAAACUUCUUUUGGAGGGGAUGAAUGCCCUGGUGAAUAGCCAGGGGUGACAGUACUCUCUGAAUAAGCCACGGCUAACUACGUGCCAGCAGCCGCGGUAAUACGUAGGUGGCAAGCGUUACUCGGAAUCACUAGGCGUAAAGCGCAGGUAGGCGGUUUGGUAAGUCUCUUGUGAAAGCUCCUGGCUCAACUGGGAGAGGUCAAGGGAAACUACCGGACUAGAGUGUGGUAGGGGAAACUGGAAUUCCCGGUGUAGCGGUGAAAUGCGUAGAUAUCGGGAGGAAUACCUAUGGCGAAAGCAGGUUUCUGGGCCAUCACUGACGCUGAGCUGCGAAAGCUAGGGGAGCAAACAGGAUUAGAUACCCUGGUAGUCCUAGCCCUAAACGAUGCUCAUUAGAUGUGGGAGGUAUCGACCCCUUCCGCGUCGCAGCUAACGCAUUAAAUGAGCCGCCUGGGGAGUACGGCCGCAAGGUUGAAACUCAAAGGAAUUGACGGGGGCCC